ACUCUGGUAGCUCGGUUGGUAAGAGCACUUGACCGCUAAUCAAGAGGGUCGCGGGUUCGAAUCCUGUCCGGAGGU